GCGCUCGUUCAGGGCAUCUAAGCGGCAGGAAGACUGACCGGGGACCGCAUGGGGAAAAACUAAGAUGGCCGCCGCGCUCAUUGUGAGACAAAGUGAGGCAACAGCAGACAGACGGAGUGCUCCUUUCACCCACAGGAUACCUGUAUAAGGGAUAUACUCCACAAGCAAGCCAAGCACAGCUCAGCUCAGCAUUAUAGCACUCACACCAACAGAGGCAUCACCUCUCAUUAACACAAGUGGAUAUAAGGGGACUCUGUCUGGACCCUGACCCUGCCUGAAUACAAGGGAACAACGUAAAUGGGGAAUAAGCUCCACUCCUGACUGUCAAGCCCCCACACAGUGAAAUAACCAGCUAAACGCACAGCUGCAGGAGGGACCAAGCGGCUUCUAACUAUUUAUGCCUAAAGCUAUAAUAGACUGUGGUGUACCUCUUGGUCUAGUAUCUCAUCUACCA